AAUCCAUGCAUGCAAAUCAAAAGUGGAGUAACUCGUGAACCAGAGGACUUAUGUGCUCGCUAUUGGUAAAAUGAAGGUCCGAGAAGAAGCCGGAGAGAAUUUUUGAGAGGACAUUUGACACUGUGGUAUUCUAAUCCAUGCAAAUCAAAAUGCUGCAGUAGAUGAUUCAUUCCAGAUGCCUCGUAUGUUUGAAAAUAUAAGCACAUAAUGAUUUACUUUAUUUUAUAAAUAAAUCAGUACAUUACAGACGUAAACUAGACAGUAAACCAUAAAUAGAUUGAAUAUGCGCAACAUGCUGAACACGCACCAAGGGUAUUGGAAAACCGACUACUCAGCAGGAAUGACUCGCGAUUGCGUGUGCUGAUGAUAGCGCGCAGCACGCGAGCAAAGAGGAAGAUGAGCUGUUAUGGUAGAGUAGUCGCGCGAAGCGCUUUCCAAAAACCAUAUUGUCGCCUUCUCCUGAUGCUGGAUGUCGAAGAUGAAGGUUCCAAAGACCUGCUCUCCCGAUAGUCGGUAAACGCCGCCGGGCGGGAUGGAGUAUACUACGAGUGAUGGUGCAAUACCGAGGAAGAGGUAAACCCUAGAUUGAUUUUGCGUGUGUUGCGUGGAGGCGGCGGCUCGACUUAUAUGGAGAUAUCAGGAAAAUUUUCAAAUCUAACUCUAGUCUACAAUAUCACAUAAAAACAAAAUAACUCAUGAAAAGUAGAAUAGAAGCAUAUCUACGUAAGUAUUUCGCCUACAAAAUAUGCAGAAUUAGUACUCCGGUGGUUAGUUUUCACCAUCUGAUCACUAGAAAAUAUCCUAAAAUAGCCACAUUAUAUGUAAUAUGCUACAAAUAUCUUCUUUCUUAGCACAAUUGGCACGCACAUCAAACAUAAACAUUGGUAGACAACUAGCAAGGUCAAAAUUUCGAGGGAUUCCCUACAUAAUGGUUGGCUGCUUGCUUUAAUAAACAAAAUCAGGUUCAGUCAAAUGUUUGGCAUGCCACUGAAAACAAUCCUCAUGUGCUCUAAUAAACCUGAAAUUUACUCGAAAUAUACUAACGAAAGCCCCACUGUUUCUUCCAUCUAACAUGAUGUUUGGAGGUGAGUCUCGGCCAAACCAAAAUUAUAUUUUGUUGCAGCUUAAACAAAAUAGAACCCGAGAAACCUCCCCGGUGCUGAAGCCAAUGAACAUUUUCUCGAGACCCAAAGACAUGUCCUUGUAGUUCUUGUAAGUUUUGAGAUCCACCUUCCUCAGAUAUGGUGCAGCAUCCAUGCUAACCGUCGUGUUCCUCUGCGUCGACUCCGGACACCAACACAAGGUGAUCGAUCUUGCCUGAUGCUGUAAUUAUGUAUUAUAACAUAUGCUUGCCUGGCUGAUCGAUCUUUGAGGUCCAGAUUAAUUGGGGAGCUGCUCUUUGAUCAUUUAAUAUGUGUGUGUUUUGAAAUGGGGAAAUUUUGGUAAUUUUUUGUUCUGAAAUAUAUGCUGAACUUGAUCUUUUCAGGAAAGAUUAAUUGUAAAUUAUGAGUUGUUGUGUUGAUGGAUUGGAGUAGCAGAAGAUGAGUUGUGAAUAUCCUAUUAGUACUAGAUGGGUACCCCGCGUGUUGCUGUGGGAUAUCUGUAUCAUAACAAAGUGUUAUUCUUGCUUUAAGGAAAUAAUAUCGAAAAGAGACAUGAAUGAUUUAGUCCAAAUAGACUACAGGAAACCUUGAUAGCAAAAAAAAAAAGCAGGCACAUUCAGAAUUAUACAUUCAGUUGAUCUCGAAGAAAAGUGGACAAAAUUAUCUUCAAGUUAGUGAGAUGUCCCAUGCUCUAGCCCAUUGUAAUAUAGAACUUCCGUCUUCGAUUCCUUGCAUUUCAUAUCAGUUUCUGCUUUUGUUUUGUUUGGCUGGAUAGUUCGAUUGUGGCAUCCACCUGGCUUACUCCGGCAUGGCAGCGCUCCCCUACUUCGAUGAGAUCGAUUCCUCCACCAUUGAUGUCCUCCUAAUCACCCAAUACUUAUUCCCCCCCAUUCCCAUUUCACCCUUUUUCUCUUCUUUACCCCUUCUGUGUAACUUCGCCCUUCAAAUUUGCAGCUUUCACUUGGACCAUGCCGCUUCUCUGCCCUACUUCUUGGAAAAGACGACAUUCAAGGGGCGCGUGUUCAUGACCCAUUGCCACAAAGGCCAUUUAUAGGCUACUCCUUUCCGAUUAUGUCAAAGUCAGCAAAGUUUCUGUGGAGGAUAUGCUGUUUGACGAGCAAGACAUUCUUCGUUCCAUGGAUAAAAUUGAGUUCUGUAUAUGCCACGAACCUGUAUAUUCCAUGAAUCUGAAACAAUAUGAGGAUGCUGAAUGCAGUAAAUCUGGAAAGUUUCUUUUCAUGAUGUAGACCUGUUACAAAUAGCAAUAUUAUUUGAUUGCAGUUUUUAGAAUCAUAGAAUAUGGUAUGUUUUUGUUGAAUGACAGUUGGACAGCUGCCUCAUAUUUAUUUUGUGGUGUAAUCUGAAAACUGAAAAAUGUAGAGGAUGUGGAUGUGCAAGAUGUUAAUGUAAUAUUCUGUGAUUUGUGUGGA